rnacentral:rRNA from 1 species
AUAUAAUAGGGUGAAGUAAAACAUUUCAGUAACUUUUUAAAAAUCAAACGAGAGUUUGUUAGUAGUGGCGAGCGAAUGCAAAUAAGAAUAAACUUUUUUUGUAGAAUCUGCCAAAGAAGGUUAAAGUCCUGUAUAUAAAACAAAAGUUUUUACUAUUAAAACGGAUUAUGCGAAUUUGUUUAUUCAGGGAAUCUUCUCUCUAGUUUUAAAAUAUCUAAUAAUCGAUAGUGUACAGAGUACCGUGAGGGAAAGGUGAAAA